rnacentral:rRNA from 1 species
UACGUAGGGUGCGAGCGUUAAUCGGAAUUACUGGGCGUAAAGCGUGCGCAGGCGGCUUACUAAGACAGGUGUGAAAGCCCCGCGCUUAACUUGGGAAUGGGCGCUUGUGACUGGUAGGCUGGAGUGUGGCAGAGGGAGGUAGGUCAAUUCCGACGUGUAGCAGUGAAAUGCGUAGAGAUGUGGAGGAACACCGAUGGCGAAGGCAGCCUCCUGGGCCAGCACUGACGCUCAUGACACGAAAGCGUGGGGAGCAAACAGG